rnacentral:misc_RNA from 1 species
GAUGAAGAACGCAGCGAAAUGCGAUAAGUAAUGUGAAUUGCAGAAUUCAGUGAAUCAUCGAAUCUUUGAACGCACAUUGCGCCCGCCAGUAUUCUGGCGGGCAUGCCUGUCUGAGCGUCAUUUCAACCCUCAUGCCCCUAGGGCGUGGUGUUGGGGAUCGGCCAAAGCCCGCGAGGGACGGCCGGCCCCUAAAUCUAGUGGCGGACCCGUCGUGGCCUCCUCUGCGAAGUAGUGAUAUUCCGCAUCGGAGAGCGACGAGACCCUGCCGUUAAACCCCCAACUUUCCAAGGUUGACCUCAGAUCAGGUAGGAAUACCCGCUGAACUUAAGCAUAUCAAUAGCGGAGGA